GACGUACGCUGGCGGCGUGCCUAAUACAUGCAAGUAGAACGCUGAAGGAGUAGCUUGCUCUUCUGGAUGAGUUGCGAACGGGUGAGUAACGCGUAGGUAACCUGCCUGGUAGCGGGGGAUAACUAUUGGAAACGAUAGCUAAUACCUCCUAAGAGUAGAUGUUGCAUGACAUUUUCUUAAUAGGUGCAUUUGCUUCCCUACCAGAUGAAACUGCUUUGUAUUAGCUAGUUGGUGGGGUAACGGCACACCAAGGCGACGAUACAUAGCCGACCUGAGAGGGGGAUCGGCCACACUGGGACUGAGACACGGCCCAGACUCCUACGGGGAGGAGCAGUAGGGAAUCUUCGGCAAUGGACGGAAGGCUGACCGAGCAACGCCGCGUGAGUGAAGAAGGUUUUCGGAUCGUAAAGCUCUGGUGUAAGAGAAGAACGGGUGGGGGAGUGGAAAGUUCAAGCAGUGACGGUAUCUUACCAGAAAGGGACGGCUAACUACGUG
rnacentral:rRNA from 1 species